rnacentral:pre_miRNA from 1 species
AGCCUUCUGUAUCUGUGCUGAGAUUUCGUCACAUUGGACCACGAAGGCUGAUGAGACUCCCAAGAUAAGUGAAGUG